AGAGUUUGAUCCUGGCUCAGGAUGAACGCUAGCUACAGGCUUAACACAUGCAAGUCGAGGGGAAACGACAUCGAAAACUUGCUUUUGAUGGGCGUCGACCGGCGCACGGGUGAGUAACGCGUAUCCAACCUGCCCAUCACUUGGGGAUAACCUUGCGAAAGUAAGACUAAUACCCAAUGACGUCCAUAGAAGACAUCUGAAAUGGAUUAAAGAUUUAUCGGUGAUGGAUGGGGAUGCGUCUGAUUAGCUUGUUGGCGGGGUAACGGCCCACCAAGGCGACGAUCAGUAGGGGUUCUGAGAGGAAGGUCCCCCACAUUGGAACUGAGACACGGUCCAAACUCCUACGGGAGGCAGCAGUGAGGAAUAUUGGUCAAUGGGCGAGAGCCUGAACCAGCCAAGUAGCGUGCAGGAUGACGGCCCUAUGGGUUGUAAACUGCUUUUAUAAGGGAAUAAAGUGAGCCUCGUGAGGCUUUUUGCAUGUACCUUAUGAAUAAGGACCGGCUAAUUCCGUGCCAGCAGCCGCGGUAAUACGGAAGGUCCGGGCGUUAUCCGGAUUUAUUGGGUUUAAAGGGAGCGUAGGCCGGAGAUUAAGCGUGUUGUGAAAUGUAGACGCUCAACGUCUGCACUGCAGCGCGAACUGGUUUCCUUGAGUACGCACAAAGUGGGCGGAAUUCGUGGUGUAGCGGUGAAAUGCUUAGAUAUCACGAAGAACUCCGAUUGCGAAGGCAGCUCACUGGAGCGCAACUGACGCUGAAGCUCGAAAGUGCGGGUAUCGAACAGGAUUAGAUACCCUGGUAGUCCGCACGGUAAACGA
rnacentral:rRNA from 1 species